rnacentral:lncRNA from 12 species
UUACCCAACGAGAGAUUCAUUCGCCUGCAGUGCAAAUGUGUAAAGUUUUCCUCUACAAGGAACAUUGCACUCCUAGGUUGUCUUAAUUGCAUUCCUUUUAUAAUUCAUCUCUCAAAUGCCACAGUUGCUCUAAAACAGAAAAGAAAAAAAAAACAAAAAAGCCAAACCCAAGAGGAUCAAAGUGUAUGUCUCUGCUGGAACAAACAGAAGCAAGAGAGGCUGGGGAGAAGAGAAGAUUUAGCCCUUGGGUGGAUUUUGCUGAAAUGUUCUAUUUGUGCAGCGGUGAUUUGUACCAGGUUGCCCACUGUACACUCCGAAGAGAACCGUGACGAACUUGCCCUCUUGGGUCUUGAGUUGCCCAGAUGCGUGUUGCUGUCGCUGCAGCGGAAGACCUUCAUCCUACUGCUCACUCCUCGGCUCGACAAAAGCAAUUUUUCACUCCCGGGCUUUGCAGGGGCCAGGUGUGCAUUCCAUAAUACGCCUAUUAUACAGCCCUUCUCGGUAGCCAUCGCGUAUACAAUGACCCUUCUGAUUUGUCCUAUUGCGUGGUUGCCAAGGACUUUGGUCCCCACCCAGUACAACUUGAGGUUUCUGGUUUCUCCACCCCACCUCCCCGCAGCCCUCCGCUCCCUGCACCCAGGGCUUCCGGCCUCCACCCCGACAUUCCAGGUGAUGGGGAUUGAGAAGUCUUGGAAAUCCUUGUGUAGUAUAAUCCCCUCUUCUCUACACUAGAAAUACAG